rnacentral:rRNA from 1 species
GAUCCUGGCUCAGGAUGAACGCUAGCUACAGGCUUAACACAUGCAAGUCGAGGGGAAACGGACAUCGAAAGCUUGCUUUUGAUGGGCGUCGACCGGCGCACGGGUGAGUAACGCGUAUCCAACCUGCCCACCACUUGGGGAGUAACCUUGCGAAAGUAAGACUAAUACCCAAUGACAUCCCACGAAGACAUCUGAAUGGGAUUAAAGAUUUAUCGGUGUAUGGAUGGGGAUGCGUCUGAUUAG